rnacentral:rRNA from 1 species
UACCACGGAGUCUAGCAUGUGUGCGAGUCAUUGGGUUCGAUCGUAACAGAUGAAACCGAAAGGCGUAACGAAAGUGAAGGCGGGCGCUCGCCGUCCGCUCAGGGAGGAUGGAGCCGUGAUCUCGGUCGACGGUUCUCGCACUCCCGAGGCGUCUCGUUUCCAAUCAGUGAAUGCAGGCGCGCUCUGAGCACAGAUGCUGGGACCCGAAAGAUGGUGAACUAUGCCUGGUCAGGUCGAAGUCAGGGGAAACCCUGAUGGAGGACCGUAGCGAUUCUGACGUGCAAAUCGAUCGUCGGAACUGGGUAUAGGGGCGAAAGACUAAUCGAACCAUCUAGUAGCUGGUUCCGUCCGAAGUUUCCCUCAGGAUAGCUGGCGUCGAUGUUUGAACAGUCUCAUCCGGUAAAGCGAAUGAUUAGAGGCAUUGGGGCCGAAACGACCUCAACCUAUUCUCAAACUUUAAAUGGGUGAGAGCUCCGGCUUACUCGAACGAUGAAGCCGGAGAUCUGAUGACGGUGCCAAGUGGGCCAAUUUUGGUAAGCAGAACGGCGCUGUGGGAUGAACCAAACGUAGUGUUAAGGCGCCUAAAAAACGCUCAUGGGACACCAUGAAAGGCGUUGGUCGCUCAUGACAGCAGGACGGUGGCCAUG